ensembl:lncRNA
CACCUCAUCUCUGUAUGCUGACUCAUCAUUGUUGCAGAUUAGGCUCAUGGCUGUAGUGUCAUCAGCAAACUUGAUAUGAUUAGACCUGAAUUUUGCAGCACUGUCAUGAGUCAGCAGGGUAAACAACAGUGGACUGAGCACACAGCCCUGGGGGGGCGCCGGUGUUCAUUGUGGUGGUGCUGGAGGUGGAGUUGCUGAUCCUGACAGACUGGGGUCUCCUAGUCAGAAAGUCCAGGAUCCAGUUGCAGAGGGAGGUGGUCAGACCCAGCAAACACAGCUUUGUUAUCAGUUGUUGUGGGAUGCUUGUGUUGAAUUCUGAACUGAAAUCUAUGAACAAGAUCCUUACAUAGUUGUCCUUUUUGUCUAGAUGGGUCAGAGGCAGAUAGUUGGGAGCAGAUAUGGGAUCCUCUAUUGAGCAGUUUGGAUGGUAGGCAUACUGAAAUGUGUCCAGUGUGGUGGAAAGGCUGCUCUUUAUGUGUUUCAUGACUAUUCGCUCGAAGCACUUCAUGGUGACGGUGUGAGUGUAAAAGGCCGGUAGUCAUUCAGGCAGUACACUUGUGAUUUCUCCAGCAUAGGGAUGAUGGUGGUCAUCUGGAAGCACAAAGAUUGCUUGGCGCUGGGAAAUGUUGAAGAUGUCUGUGAGGACAUCUGCAAGCUGAUCAGCACAUUCCAUGAGCACCCGGCCAGGUUGACCCUGAAGUGUGACCACUGCACCAGAGCUGGUGCCAGGUUGACUCUGUCCACCUUAUUGUGGAAAAAUUGGAGAAAAAGGUUGUUGUUUUCAACCUCACAUAUGGGCAGGCAUAAUUUUCUAAAUUGCCUAAAUAUCUGUUAUCACAAUCCUAACUACAUCAUGACAAUAUCUUUUUAGAAAAAUCCUAAUAUUGUACAUGAUGUUGCCUUUUAUGACUCAUAGCUUGGGAAAGUGUUUUAGUUGUUAUUGCUGUCGCUGCUGCUUGCCCUAACUGUAUUUGUAGCUUCAACAUUUAAAAUAACAACAUGGAGGGCUCCCUAAAUGUACUGUACGUAAAUUUGGAUCUUACAGUAGAUAAUGCUGUCCUUUAGCAUAUUUUGAAUGACGAUAUAGUGCUAACAUUUGCUAGUAGUGAAACUGUGAUACUAAAACUAAUACCUGAUUAGCUAAGUUAGCGAACACAAAGCUACAGUGUUUACAGAUGAGACUGACCUGCACUUGAAGCCCUGAACUGGUCGUUAAUUUUGCUACAUUUUGCUGCUUCUUUUUGGAUGGCGU